GAUGAACGCUGGCGGCGUGCCUAAUACAUGCAAGUCGAGCGAACAGACGAGGAGCUUGCUCCUCUGACGUUAGCGGCGGACGGGUGAGUAACACGUGGAUAGCCUACCUAUAAGACUGGGAUAACUUCGGGAAACCGGAGCUAAUACCGGAUAAUAUAUUGAACCGCAUGGUUCAAUAGUGAAAGACGGUUUUGCUGUCACUUAUAGAUGGAUCCGCGCCGCAUUAGCUAGUUGGUAAGGUAACGGCUUACCAAGGCAACGAUGCGUAGCCGACCUGAGAGGGUGAUCGGCCACACUGGAACUGAGACACGGUCCAGACUCCUACGGGAGGCAGCAGUAGGGAAUCUUCCGCAAUGGGCGAAAGCUUGACGGAGCAACGCCGCGUGAGUGAUGAAGGUCUUCGGAUCGUAAAACUCUGCUAUUAGGGAAGAACAAAUGUGUAAGUAACUAUGCACGUCUUGACGGUACCUAAUCAGAAAGCCACGGCGAACUACGUG
rnacentral:rRNA from 1 species